GUGUCAGCAGCCGCGGUAAUACGAAGGGGGCUAGCGUUGUUCGGAAUCACUGGGUGUAAAGGGCGCGUAGGUGGUUGUCUGUGUCUCAUGUGAAAACUCAGGGCUCAACUCUGAGAUUGCGUGGGGAACUAGGCAGCUAGAGGACGGUAGAGGGGAGUGGAAUUCCCGGUGUAGCGGUAAAAUGCGUAGAUAUCGGGAGGAACACCGGUGGCGAAGGCGGCUCUCUGGGCCGAUCCUGACGCUGAGGCGCGAAAGCUAGGGGAGCGAACCGGAUUAGAUACCCGGGUAGUCCUAGCCGUAAACGAUGGGUGCUAGGUGUUGGGGGGUAAAGACCCUUCAGUGCCGAAGCCAACGCGAUAAGCAUCCCACCUGGGGAGUACGGCCGCAAGGUUGAAACUUAAAAGAAUUGGGG
rnacentral:rRNA from 1 species